AUGAUUCUCUUACGGUGAAACUGCCGCGGGAUGCGUCAGUCCCGGGCAGUUAGAGCACUCCUGGAUGUUCAGAAGUGCUACAAACCAGAUGUGUUAUUUCUAUCGAAAACUCAUCUGUCGGACGCAAGGGCCGAAUGGUUGAUGAGGAAGCCAGGGUUCCAGGAGAGGCUGGUUGACCUGAGUGAUGGUAGGGCGGGAGGCUUACUGAUGAUGUGGAGGAAUGGAGUGUCUGUCACAAAACAUGGGGUAACUACAAAUUUUAUUGACGUAACAAUAGAUGAUGGAAGAAAAUGGAGGUGUACAGGCUUCUAUGGUGAGCCGGUGAAAUAG
rnacentral:rRNA from 1 species